rnacentral:rRNA from 1 species
GACGAACGCUGGCGGCGUGCUUAACACAUGCAAGUCGAACGGAAAGGCCCUGCUUUUGUGGGGUGCUCGAGUGGCGAACGGGUGAGUAACACGUGAGUAACCUGCCCUUGACUUUGGGAUAACUUCAGGAAACUGGGGCUAAUACCGGAUAGGAGCUCCUGCUGCAUGGUGGGGGUUGGAAAGUUUCGGCGGUUGGGGAUGGACUCGCGGCUUAUCAGCUUGUUGGUGGGGUAGUGGCUUACCAAGGCUUUGACGGGUAGCCGGCCUGAGAGGGUGACCGGCCACAUUGGGACUGAGAUACGGCCCAGACUCCUACGGGAGGCAGCAGUGGGGAAUAUUGCACAAGGGGCGGAAGCCUGAUGCAGCAACGCCGCGUGCGGGAGGACGGCCUUCGGGUUGUAAACCGCUUUCGCCUGUGACGAAGCGUGAGGGACGGUAAUGGGUAAAGAAGCACCGGCUAACUACGU